rnacentral:lncRNA from 1 species
CGCUCCCCGGAUGCUAACAGGGGGCUGUGGGCAUCGCAGAGGUCCAAAUGACAGACAGUCAAGCAGACAGACACAAGUACAGACUGGGCAACUAUUGGGGCUAUGACAGAAAGUGGGACUCCAAGACAAGAGGCGCUAUGGGACAGCAAAGGAGGCCAUCGACAGAGCCAAGGAACCCGCAGAAGAAACCAGCAGUCCUGCUACCACUCAGCAUCCUUUAGUCCUGGACAUUUUCCCAUAUGAACACAAGCCUGCUCACCACGGAAGGAGGAACGAAGGAGCGAUGGCAGCUGCGGGGCCACCGCCUUUGGUUCUCAGCUCCGGCUCCUCCCUGGCUCACAGCACACAGCUCCCAGCCCAGCACAUCCCUGCCCACGAGCAUCGCUCCCAGCCGCUCAUUGGGACACGAAGGUCUCCGGGUGUGGAGUGGGGCUUCAGAGGCGUCGCAACGACACUGAAACCCACACCUGAGCUGUGCCCAGCGGAAGCAAAACCAAAAACCCCACAGGAGCAUCCAUUGCUUUGACUUCAGCCCUUCCUGGCUUCAGGCCCACGAGCCUCGGGCCAAGCCCAGCUUGCUGCAGUGCUCCACGCGGCACGUGGAUCAGGGUGCAAGCCAGGUGUAAAGCCUCUCAGCCCCAUCCACUCCUCCACCCUCUCGAACAGCAGCAAGGAGUAACAGCACCAGCCCCAUCGCGUGGGCUGAUCCCUCACAGAGCUGCCGCCCUGCUAGGAAGGUUUCUCAGCUUGCUUAAGGCAGGUUUCCAUGUGCAGCAACACGAAGAACAAAUCCAUCACACGUUCCUUCCCCCACAGCAAUGCCCGAAAACACGAACCGAAGCAAAGGGACGCUGCCGUCCCAUCCGGCUGGCAGCAGCCCCUGUCCAAACCCGCCACCAUUUUAGCAACAGAAGGAUCAGAGAAGAGCAAAACCAAACCAAAGGACCAAAGAAACGGGGGGCUUCUAGCACUCGGAUGAGAGCCCGCAUCUUCUUCAUGCGCUCCCACCUCCAUACCCUCGGCCAACACUCCCCGCAGGGCAGCUGGAUGUGCAGGACAGCCGUGAAUGCCAGGAAAAGGG